rnacentral:piRNA from 1 species
GGAAAUUUUACACUUGUCAGUGUUGGUACA